CAAAAUGGCAAGCUAGCACGAUGUGGUUGGCCCCCCUUGCCUUAGGAACCUUCCUUAUUAUCUCCCUGCCCCGUGAUCUUCUCUUAGCCAGUACUUCUGUCCACACACAACCGCCGAACCCCCACCACCCCCACCUUGCUGCCCCAGCCCAAUCUUUGGGAAACAGAGCAGCAAGGAGCUGACUGCACCUCUCCACCAGCAGACCGUUCCCCUGGGGCUUUAGGGGGCGCCAACAGCCUUUUCACUCUUCAAUCUGCUGUGAUUUCGGGGUUCUGGAAGUCGCCAAAAGCGCGCGGUGAGCUGGGUGCUUCCGAAAGUAGCCAGAGAGCGACAAUUUACCUACGUGAAGGAAGAGGAGGGAUUGCUGGGAGCACCGUUCAGUGUCUUCAAUGGACUUUUAACAGAAGCAGCAGCCCAGGGAAAAUAGGCACACCGCUGGUCCCCUCAGUGUUCUAAUCACCUCCCCCACCCUUCUUAAAAUGCCGUGUGCCCAGAAGGGAUGAGAUAAUGAGGAACAAGCAUCAAUUAAGCAUGUCUUCAACCUAUUAUGACUUGGAGGCUUAUCUUUCAUUGAAUUAUUUCCUUAGGGCCCCUAGUCAGAAGACUAGAGUUUUAAAUACUUCAGGCUAAACCACUUUUUUCUUGCUUGGGCUAAUAGAGUAGAAAGCAAAACAUUUCUCUAGCCUGUUGCUGCUGCCCAAUACAAAGUUACCUCUGAUUAAUGAUAGGUUUUAAAUCAAAACAUACUCCCCAGUUAAAGUAUAAACAUAACUGAGUGUAAAUUUUGCUUCUUUUUUUCCCUUCAUUUUCCAUAGGGAGAGUUUCAUGCUCAGGCUGACACCUCCUCUACUUUUUCAUCUUGGCCAACAAGGUUAAAUAAGCAUGAACAACACUUUAAUAAAUCAUCCACACAAAAUACUCUGUUACAACCAACAGGAAGCCACUGUAAAAACUAGAGGUUUCAAGCAUAAAAAAAUGAGGCAGUGGAACUAUAAAACAUGCCCAGUGAAACUGUUAAUCGUUGAUCUUUAAGAAAAUGCAAGUGAGUCCCUACUACAACAUAUGACCCUAAAUAGUUGUGUAUUAGGUAAAUGUCUAUUUUAUAUUGAAAAUACCAAAGAUUUUCAUAAAAUUGAGACGUCCAUGACCUAUGAAAAAUUAUACUUCAUA